rnacentral:lncRNA from 1 species
AAUAAAAGAAAGAAGAAAAAAAUGAAAAAAAGAAAGAAAUGAAUGAGAGAUAAGAAAAAGGAAAGAAAAAAAUGAAGAAAAGAGGAGGAAAAUAAAAGAAAAAAAGGAAAGACAGAGAAAAAGGAAUUAAAAAAUGAAAAGAAAGGAGAAGAGAAGGAAGGAAAAUAUUUAAGAAAUGAAAUAAAGAAAGACCAAAAAAAGAAGAGAAAAAGAAAAGGAAAAGAAUAAAAGGAAAAGAGAUAAAAGUGAAAGAGGAGAAAAAGGAGAGUAAGAAAGAAAGAAAAGGCGAAGAAAAAAGAGAAAAAUGAAAGAAACAAAAGUAAAAGAAAUGAAAGAAAAAUAAAAAGAAAGAAACAUAGGAAAGAAUGAAAAAAAAGAAAAAAAAUAAAAGAAUGAAAGAAGAAUAAAAAAAACAAAGAAAGAAAUAAAAGAUGGGGCAA